rnacentral:lncRNA from 1 species
UCUGGCCACAACGUGUUUUUAUCACUUAAAAGCACCCAUAAACAAGGAUGUGUCGUUCAUUGUGGUUCAGUGUGGAGUCCCCCAGCCCUCCCUGUUCCCUCUGAAGGUGGUGGUGCUGUGUUCCUGCACUGCACCUCUCAGGAGCCCUUGGCAGCUGAGUCACAGGGUCACCCAGCUCUGGAAACAAUCCCUUCUUUCCCAUUUCGGUGUUUUCCGGAUAAACCCCACACGCAUACGUAAACGCCUAAUUCUGCUUGCACCCUGUGAUCUGUUGCAGGCAGAGCUGGCUGUCCCACCUUUGGGAAACUGGAAACCUUUCAGAAAGAGCUGGAACAGUGGGAGAGGAAUGGAUGAUGGGACUCCCAUUAGUCUCCCACCCCUCUCUGCCACCCAGGUGUGGGCUGCCACACUUCCACACUCCCACAUCCCCCUCUUGCUGCCAAGUGGGAAGGACAUGCCACCCUCUCUGGUACAGCUGGAGUAUGACCAGUGCCAGGCUGGGGCAGAAGAAACUGCCAGCCUUCCCUCUCUGAAUGGAAACACCAGGAACCCCAGAGAGAUGGCUGCUCUCCAGAGGAUACAGGAGCAUGGAGGUGGCCUGUUUGCUGGCACCACCCGGACAAGCUGCACUCCCACUCCAGGAUGGACUGUGUGUUCCAGGGCCACGGCUGUGUGCCAGCAGUGCUGCUGGGGAGCAGAGCAGGGAGCAGCAGGGCCGUGACAGUGGCUGCAUGUGCCAGGGCACAGCAAGGGGGGGCCGUGCUGGUGUCCCCCCAGUGAACCUCAGCCAUCCCCCAGGCCACGGGGCAGGUUGUGCUGCUGCUUCUCGAGCACCUCUCACACCCCAAAGUACGGGUGUCUGUGUCCUUAAUCCCUGCUUGCUCCCAGAUUGGGAUCCUGGCUCUGGGAGAGGCUUGGCAGAGCUGGCUGGACAAGGAUGUGUGACCCCUGCCUGGGGAUUUUUUUCCUGAGAAAAGAAAAAUCUUUGGCUGGAAGGGGCCACUCUGAGCUGAGCUAGCCAGCCUGGCAGCAGCGCAGUGCAUCCCCACAGCGUGGGGCUUCACCAUCAGCCUGUCCCUCCCUCCCUCCCUCCCUGUUCCGGGGGUCCCGGUGCUGUUCCAUUGGCACCGGUUCCCGGGGCCGCAGAGCAGCCCUGGCAGCGCUGCCCACCCGGCAGGAGCCUGGCUUUCCCCACCCUGUCCCAGCUGGAUCUGGCCGUGCCCGUGUCCGUGUGUCCGUGUGUCCGUGCUGUCCCUGUCCCCCUGGCUGUCCCCCAUCCCCACGGUGCCCCCUGUCCCCCUCUGCCCACGUCCCCCUCGCUCGGGCUCCGCAGUGCUCGGGAUCCAUCAGGCAGGUGAAAUCCCACCUUCUCUGUGGGACAGGACGGUCACACUCCUGCUACAAGGGUACAUUUAAAGCAUUUUCAGAGGUUUCCUACAGACAGGGAAAACAUCCUGUUCCCACUGGGGAUUCCAACCACAGCGGUUUCUUUACUCCUCCUUAAGGCACAGCUGGGGUUUUGUAUCUGGGAACAACUGAAAUGAUGCUGCUCUAGGAAUGAUAUUUUAAUUCUCUCUUAAAAGAGGCCUUUAAAAGAAGGCUCAGAGCUCUGCCUGGAGUGAAUUCACAGUGGCCAUAUCAACCUUAGUGCUCCAUGCAGCCUUUGGGGUGAGAGCUUGUCCAGGGCCACUGGUGAAUCCUAUAAAAUCCCUAUAAAAGAGAAUAAACCUGCAGCCUGCGCCUGCA